GCGGUAUCGAAAGCUUGCUUUCGGUAGCCGGCGACCGGCGCACGGGUGAGUAACGCGUAUCGAACCUGCCUCAUACUCGGGAAUAGCCUUGCGAAAGUAAGAUUAAUGCCCGGUGUUUUCAGAGUCCCGCAUGAGGCUUUGAACAAAGAUUUAUCGGUAUGAGAUGGCGAUGCGUCCCAUUAGCUUGUUGGCGGGGUAACGGCCCACCAAGGCAUCGAUGGGUAGGGGUUCUGAGAGGAAGGUCCCCCACAUUGGAACUGAGACACGGUCCAAACUCCUACGGGAGGCAGCAGUGAGGAAUAUUGGUCAAUGGGCGGAAGCCUGAACCAGCCAAGUAGCGUGCAGGAAGACGGCCCUCCGGGUUGUAAACUGCUUUUAGUUGGGAAUAAAACGGGGCUCGUGAGCCCCCUUGCAUGUACCAUCAGAAAAAGGACCGGCUAAUUCCGUGCCAGCAGCCGCGGUAAUACGGAAGGUUCGGGCGUUAUCCGGAUUUAUUGGGUUUAAAGGGAGCGCAGGCGGACCUUCAAGUCAGCUGUGAAAUACGGCGGCUCAACCGUCGAACUGCAGUUGAUACUGGAGGUCUUGAGUGCACACAGGGAUGCUGGAAUUCAUGGUGUAGCGGUGAAAUGCUCAGAUAUCGUGAAGAACUCCGAUCGCGAAGGCAGGCAUCCGGGGUGCAACUGACGCUGAGGCUCGAAAGUGCGGGUAUCAAACAGGAUUAGAUACCCUGGUAGUCCGCACAGUAAACGAUGAAUACUCGCGGUUUGCGAUACAUUGUAAGCCGCCAAGCGAAAGCGUUAAG
rnacentral:rRNA from 2 species